UACGUAGGCAGCAAGCGUUGUUCGGAGUUACUGGGCGUAAAGGGUGCGUAGGUGGCUCUAUAAGUAUGGUGUGAAAUCUCCCGCUUAACUGGGAGGGUGCGCCGUAGACUGUGGGGGCUAGAGUGUGGGAGAGGAAAGUGGAAUUCCUGGUGUAGCGGUGAAAUGCGUAGAUAUCAGGAGGAACACCGGUGGUGUAAACGGCUUUCUGGACCAUAACUGACACUGAGGCACGAAAGCGUGGGUAGCAAACAGG
rnacentral:rRNA from 1 species